rnacentral:rRNA from 1 species
CUACGGGACGCUGCAGUGGGGAAUAUUGGACAAUGGGGGCAACCCUGAUUCAGCGAUGCCGCGUGGGUGAAGAAGGCCUUCGGGUUGUAAAGCCCUUUAGGUCGGGAAGAAGGAUGUUGGGUUAAUACCCUGACAUUUUGACGGUACCGACAGAAUAAGCACCGGCAAACUCUGUGCCAGCAGCCGCGGUAAUACAGAGGGUGCGAGCGUUAAUCGGAUUAACUGGGCGUAAAGGGCGCGUAGGCGGUUAUAUGUGUGGGAUGUGAAAGCCCCGGGCUUAACCUGGGAAGUGCAUACUAAACUAUAUAACUGGAGUAUAUGAGAGGGUGGCGGAAUUUCCGGUGUAGCGGUGAAAUGCGUAGAGAUCGGAAGGAACGUCAAUGGCGAAGGCAGCCACCUGGCAUAAUACUGACGCUGAGGCGCGAAAGCGUGGGGAGCAAACAGGAUUAGAUACCCUGGUAGUC